CGGUGUAAUCACACUGGAUGGUCACGCUGAUGAUUGGAAGGACAUUGAUGGGUCCUACUUUCCCCUCCUUCCCGCCCUUGACCCAGAUGCUGAAAAUGAAUUCAAAGGGGGAAAGAUGAGCGUUAAAGUAUACACCACACAUUCUGUUCCGUUAUCUCUGGCCAGUUUUAUUAUUUAUUUUCUCAUUUGAUGAUCAUGAAUUUAUUGCAGAGUGUCCAUGAUGGCCGCGAUAUCUUCUUUCUGCUGCAAGUAGAUGGUGACUAUGCCUACUCUAAAGGGUAAAUAUGUCGUGCCAAGCAGAUAAAAUUUCAUCUACUCUCCCUUGCUACGAUUUAUUAUUGUGCUUAUGUUAUUGACUUGUUUCUAUUGAUGGUGUUUUAUAUGUUACAGAGUGUCCAACAUGUUUGGAAAGAAGAUAAGAUAGAUUAGAAAUAUGAAUUUAAUUUAAAUAUACUCACAUUGUAAAACUAUUUUGCAUUUUAUGUCUGAUCAUUUUAUCAUAUCAUACUAAUUAUAAACAUUAUGUGUCAAUAAGGUGAAUUCCCAUUUAAUGUGUGUAAGAAAAGUCUUACACCAAUACCACAUAUUAAUUAAAUUCUUUAUAAAUAUUAUCGUUUUUGGUGUGUUAAUCUAUGAUGAACUUUUGUCUGGUUGUUGCAUUGGUUUUGCAACGCAGUGAAAGCAAUAAAUGUCCAUCUGUUGCUCUCAUGUUUCAAAUUGGAGAUAGUGCCUCUUAUCAUGAUGUAAGUUUUGCAGUCUUUUCUUGCUUUCAAUUACAAUCCCAACCUUGCUAGAAGAUUUUGUAAAACUGUAUUUGAUAAAUAUUAUGUUAACUGUUAUAAGAUGGGUGGCUGUAAAGAACAUUCGACCUCAUGCACUGACAAGACCUGCAAAGGUCAUGAAGUUGACAUUAUGCACUUUUCGAUAGGAAGUGCUAUUCCAGGACGACUUUACGGUGGCAAUCCCCUAGACAAUAGAGAUGGGAAUGGUGGCGAUAGGUUAUGAGCUGAAAAAUUCCUUGACUUUCAAUUAUGAUAGUCGUGGGCUAUCUUAUUUGUUGGUUGUGUUCAUUCAGCUUCCUAUAUUUGUUAUUGGUACAGGUUUGGUCACUUGGUUGAUCUAUAUGCUUGGAAUCCACAUUGUAGAUACUUGGAUGGAAUUGGUCCUCCAGGUUCUGGUAUGUACAAAUGCAACACCAUUGAUAAGAAUUAUAUGCUUCUAUGACUGAAAAAAAAAAGCAGAACAAAUGGAUUAAAUUAUUAAAACACCAAGUGGAAGUAUCACAAAUGGUUCCUAAAAUUUUAAAAACUACUGUUUUGUAGUUGCACUAAAUAGGACCAUUGCUUGCAUGACUUCACUCUUGUUCACUAAGCACAUCUUCCUUGAUACUUAUACCUUUUAUUCAGAUGUUCAUGCAAUUCUUUUAGGUGUUUUGUACAUAAAGAGAAUUGCUUAUGUGGAACAUUUGUAUUCUUCUAUAUACAUUUUUUAUUGUCAUAUUGCUUGUCUUUUCCUAUUGAACAUUAUUUAGUUUGCUUACUUAUUAAUAUCCUUCAUAGUUUACUCACUUUGGCCAUAUAAAUAAUAAUAAUAUCUUGUUUUGAACCGUACACAAGGUGGUCCGUUAUUUUAUUCCUUUAGCUUAGCCAUGAAAAAUCAAGGUUCACGUUUGAUAUUAAUCUCUUCUGACUUUGCUCCUUAAUUUUUUUAUCAGUUUUUGUAAAAUAAUUUAUCUUUGUCCUACAAAUCCCAAUUUAAAAUUGAUGUAACUUUACAUAUGAAAGUGGAUCCCAAAAUGAUUAAGUAGUGAUUGGAUUUUGGCAUGUGUAUGAUGCGUUUUAAAUUACUUUAAGAUGGCUUCAUUCACAUUGGAAGAAAGGGAUGUGUCAAAAUUAAUUAAGACAUCUGUUAUUAGUAUACUACAGGACAAGUAGAGAGAUAAGUGCUUUUUAUGCUAACAUUGUUGGAGUACAAGUGUGAGGUGAAGUCCCACAUUGGGUAGAAGUAGAAAAGUUGAGUACCAUAUAAAUGAGAAGAAGACCCAUAAACCUGAGUUCCCUUAUGUGAUGACUCGUGGUCCACCGGUGUGAAUCUCCCUGGUGUUUACUCCCCUCAAAUCUCCCCAACAACUGGUAUCAGAGCCGAUAAGCAUCAUUUCCAAUUCGGCUACAAACCAAAACUAAAGAUAUUAUUUAUAAUGAGAUUCUUCUUAACAACUUUUUUAAUGUCCUUCUUAAUUUCCCUCUCCCCUUUUACAUAGAAAUAAAAACCAUGAAAUCUACUCGUGUGUUUCUCGUCGCCUUUGUACGUGUCCAGACUACUUUACCUUGAUUUUCUGCUUUCCCCCCCUUAAAUUAGUGCAAUAUCAAUAUUAUAUGAUAAAACUUGCUCUUGAGCUUUGAUAGGUACUAUGCAACCACAAAUAACCUCAAAUACUUUUCUCCAUUUUUGUUAUCCUGUUUAUAUCUUCUGUGUGACAUCUUUAUUAAUUUCCUCGUCAUUUUGUAGUAUUGAUCCCAAAUAUUUAAACUAAGAAACUGGUGGCAUGACAUCUCCCAAUUUUACUUCAAGUCAUAUUCCUCUUGCCUCUUACAAAAAUUGCAAUAAUAUACUUUGUUUUACUCCUACUUAAGCGAGAAUCCUUUGUUUUUAAAGUUUUCUUCAAAGCUCAAGUUUAAAGUUAACAACUUUCCUUAAUUCAAAACUAUAUCAUCCACAAAAAACAUGCAAUCAGGGAUAAUCUUUUGUAUGUCCCUAGUAAGCACACCCAAGACUAAAUUAAAGAAAUAAGGACUUAAGGUUGAGCCUUGGUGUACGCCUACCCCUGUCGAGAAGUUCUUAGUCUCGUCUCCUGGAGUUAUCACACUAGUAGUUUCCCUAUCAUGCCUGACUUAUAUAGUUCAGAUGUAAGUCACAGAAACACCUUUCUUUUCCAAAGUCUUUCUAUUUGUGACCUUGAACUCCCUUCUUAAGUGAUUUAAUGUUCCUCCUCCUUCUUGAAACAAGUGUUCAUAAUCCUAAAAUCGUAAGUAAUAGAGAAAUCAAGAAUAAACUGUCAUUCCUUAUUUACUUCUCUAAAACUAGAACCACCAUGGGCUUCUAUAAAUUGCCUUGUCUCACUACGAAUAUGUUCUUUUAGAUCCCUUCCUGAGAAAAUCUUUUCUUCUUGGGGAGUUCCUUGAACCAAUCCCACCAAAUUUUCCCAAUACUUUUCUUUAUAAGUGCUUGUAAUCCUACUUGUGAUGCUUAAGUACUGAUGAUGUUGGUGGUCUCCUAUGCAACCAGUAAUUUUAAGGCUAACAUUGUGUCCAAUUCAUCUUGCAUCCCCUAGACUAUUUCUAAUACUUGUCUGCAAUAAUACCACACCAUUCUUUUCUCUAAUUUAAAUCCUAUAGUACCUAACUCCUUGGUCUCUUGUAGGCACAUAAUGUUACUCCUCCUUUGAAUUAUGGAUCUGCCACCUUCAUGAACUUACCUGUCAAAGUCCCAGUAUUCUAAGUAGCAAAAAGCUUUGAACUUCUUUAUCCACAUCCAUUCAAGAAAUUGUGAGGACUCUUGACCAUUUAACACUAUAUCCGAGCACUUUAUGUCCUGACUCUAAAUCAUUUGACUUUGUAUUCAAGCCAUACAAUGCCUUACUUAAUCGAGUAACUUUUGAAUUUAAUCUCUUAUGAGAAUCAUGAAUUAAGUUUAUGUUGGUAAAUUCUGUACAAGGAAUUGUUAAGACACUUUGUUGGUCAAUUAAAGCUCGUUUUGUGGUCAAAUGUGAUAUGAUAAGAUAAAAUAUAAGAGCAGUAUAAGAACUUUAAAAGAUAAAAGUAGGAUAAGCUUUAAUACUAUUCAAUGUUACACCAUCAUAUAGACUAGAUAACGAUAGGUGGUGGUUGUGUCGGCAACGAUAACCGUGAUAAUAGCGGUGACAAUAAUAAUAACGAUGGUGGUGGCGAUGAUGGUAUUGAUGGUGGUGAUAAUGGUGGCAAUGGCGAUAGCGGCGACAAUGAAGGCAACAACAAUGACGGUGGUGGUGGCGGCGACGAUGGUGGCGACAAUGGUAGGAGUGACAACGCCAGUGAUGGUGGUGUGAUGGUUGUCAUGGUGGAGAAGCGAUGAUGGUGGUGAAGAUGGUGAUGAUGGUGGUGGCGAUGAUGACAGUGAUAGUGAUGGGGUUGGUGAGGGCAACUAUCCUAUUCUGUUGCUCUCUAACCAAUUCACCCCCUCAGGAUAAGAAAUACACUGCAUCAUUAAGAUAGAGUAGGAAAUAGGGUAAGGAAAUCAUAUCCUACUAGUGCACCAAACAAUUUAUUACAACAGCCUAAGAUAGUUAUCCUAUCCUAUUAUACCAUAUUCUAACUACCAAACAACAAAAUUUCCAUUGCUUCAUAAGUUUUGAAUAGAAUGACAAUGCAUCUCUUUUUUAAAGAGUUAGAAAUCUGUAAGGAAAGACAUUUUCCCCAAGGCAAUUAAUUUUUUCUUUUAUGUAUUAUGACUUGCCGUGUUGUGGGUUAUAUAUAAUAUUGUUUUCAACCCCUUCAUUUUGUUGAUACUUGAUCACUUCUAAGUUAUAUUAUAGACUGACCCUUUUUCUGUUGUCAGCUAAUGAUUCAAGUGCGCAGAAUGACUGGAAAGGUGCUUGGUGGCAUAGCAGCUUCACAGUUCACUCAGGUGUCUGAUUCAUUUAUUUAUAGAUCAAAAAAUAAUAUGUCAUAUCAAUUAACUGUAGUUGGAGGCUGAAUCCAGACUGAAAUUUUGGUUGGUAGUGACAGGAAUCUCAAAACAAUAUUUUCUGAGCAGUAGUUAAAAUGUGUUUCCUUAUAUAUCUAUAUACUACUUAUGAAGUGAAUGGUUCGUAUAUGAGAUCAAAGCAUGCCUUGUACUAAGCUUCAUUUAUAAAUUUUGUUUUAAGAUAUGUCAACAUGACUUCAAAAUUUUUCAUAUAUGUUAGUGCCAGUUGCUUUCAAUUAUAUAUAAAUGGUGCCAUCUUGGAGGGUUAAUCCCCCACUAAGUGCCAAAAGUUCAGUGAUCCAUUAAAGGACAACCCGCUUUGUUUCUUAUGGCUUCUUGCCUUACAAUUUUUUUUUAAGAGUAAUUCAUUUUUCAUCCUCCAUAGUUUCAAGCCUUGUCACUUUAGUCUCUCAAUUAUUCAAGGUAUCAUCAAAUCGAUCCUUCUUUGAUGAUAUUUUGCUUGAUCAAGAGACUAAAUUGAUGAUAUUUUGUAUUGUUUAGGGACUAAUUGAUGUUUGAAAUAUUUGGAGUGUCAAAGUGAUGACUCUUAGCACUGUUGAGGGAUUAAUUUGAUGAUAAAAAUCUUGAGGAUCAAAUUGACGACACUUAUUUGCUUGGAGGACAAAAGUAGGGAUUUACUCUAUUUUUUUAUGUUAAAGCAUAUUUUGGAUUCUAUAUUUCUAGUGCAUGAGUGUUGUCAAAUACUGAGUCAUUGACUCAAUUAGGUGCGGAGUCACCGUUUCAAAAAGUAAUUGAUUUACUGGUUGAACCAUAUGUAUGUGUAAUUAAUCUGAUAAUAGGAACAUUAUAACUAACAUGGAGUUCUGGUGAAAUGGUUUAUGUUAAUUGAGCUGUUAAUUAUUAGGUUGUAGGUUAAAAUUAUUAGCUCAUAGAUUCAAAUUUUGUCUGGAACUUUACACUAAAUGUUUUACAAAACCAGUAAAAAUCAUUAACUUCAUACUAGUUCAUACUGGUUGCAACUUGCAACCUUGUGUAUGCAAUAUGAACAUCUGCCUCAAAUACAGUACCUUAAAUUUGAUCUCUCUGCUUUGUUUUGCACUGUCAUUUAGUUAGUUUGCAUUUUUAUUUUCUCAUAUUGGUACUCACAUGCUUCUCUGUAACAGGAUUCGUAGAGGAUGAGAGUCCAUAUGCAGAUAAUGGAAAAAAGGGCACAUACUUUUUUGAAUUCUCGAGGUCUUUGAGGACUAUGGAUCAUCUUCAACAGGUUGGAACUUAGAAAGUAAUUUGAUAUUCAUAAGUUUUAUAGGCUAAGAGUUUGCAUUGAUUUUUUCAGAUUUUUUUCCCAAUUAGCUGAAUUUUUUGUUCACAAGUUCUUUUUCGAUUAAUUUUUGGGAUCAUUUGUAAAUCUAAUGGAUUGUGGAUGAAAAAACAUAUGAAAUUAUUUAUCAAUUUUAAUCAAUGUUGGCGUAGAGUACCCCAAGUCAUGUGAUAAACAUUCCUUUUUAACUAGGUCUCUGUGUUGUUUGUUGUUGAAACAAGUUUGACUUUUGAACUUGUACUGGAUUGUUUGUAUUACCUUGUUUCCCAAUGCAAACUUGCCUUCUGAAUGUAUAUUUCUUAACCAUGGCCAAAAGCUUAAAACAAACAAGAUUGAGAUCACUAACUCUUUUUUCUUGUAUUUUGUUUGGGGUGGGGGCAUGGAUGAAAAAGAUCUUUUCAAAUAUAAUAAAUGUGAUUGUAGGGAUCUUCUGAAUCACGUGGUUUUUGUUUUAACAUGUGGUUAUUGUGUUUAUCUUUGAGUUUCUUCCUAUCCAGGGACUCAUCUUGUAGCUUGAAACUAAAUAUAUUUUUGUUUUAGUAGCAUUGUACCAAAUAGUAAAUAUAUUCCUGAAUAUCAUUUAUAAGAUAACAAGCAAGUAAAAUGAUGUAAAAUAAUACCUUGCAGGACGUGCAAUUUAACAUUGGUGGAUCCAGUAAGAUGUCUGUUGCAUUCUGGUAUCCAGUAGAUGGUCAACCUUGGCAUGGUUCUGGGCACUACUCUGUUUACUGUGAUUGGGUUCCCAUUGACAUAUCUGUUGGUAAA
rnacentral:lncRNA from 1 species